UUUCGCAAUGCCCGAAAGGGUGACGAAGCGACGCCGCGUGUGGGAAGAAGGCCUUCGGGUUGUAAACCACUGUCGGGAGUUAGGAAAUGUAAGGGUGCUAAUAGUAUCCUUACUUGACUAAGGCUCCGGAGGAAGCCACGGCUAACUCUGUGCCAGCAGCCGCGGUAAUACAGAGGCGGCAAGCGUUGUUCGGAAUUAUUGGGCGUAAAGAGCACGUAGGCGGCCUUGUAAGUCAGUUGUGAAAGCCUUCUGCUUAACGGAAGAACAGCAGCUGAUACUGCAAGGCUAGAGUGCGGAAGGGGAGAGUGGAACUUCUGGUGGAGCGGUGAAAUGCGUAGAUAUCAGAAGGAACACCGGCGGCGAAGGCGACUCUCUGGUCCGUAACUGACGCUGAGUGCGCGAAAGCUAGGGGAGCAAACGGGAUUAGAUACCCCGGUAGUCCUAGCCGUAAACGAUGGGCACUAAGUAGAGGGGUUUUA
rnacentral:rRNA from 1 species